CACAGUAACUUUAAUGUUUACAUUUUUCAUGUGAGACCCGCACUUAGAUUAUUUCUACACUAGAAAUAAAGAAACCGGGGUCCAGACAGGUGAGAUUAACAAGCCAAGUCCACAUACAAUAGCAGGCAGCUGAUUGGAGAUGCGGACUCCGCAGCUGUUCCCUGCCGGCGGCGGGUGUGCGAGCCAAGGGGAGGGUGGGCGUUACCACACCACGUGGCCGCCCGGAAGCCCUUCAGGUGGAGCUCAUUGGCUGUGACUGGGCCACGUGCACACGUCCCUGAGCCGGUCCCCACAGCGGUCGGUUGCUUGGUCCUCAGUCGUGUGUGGCAGCCUGAAGCAGGAGUAUGGUGCCUUGUUCACCCGACAUGCACUAAAAAUCGGGAAGGGGUGUGUCUCCUCAGGGCAGUGACUCGAGUUGAGUGAGAGCCGCAGUGUUGACCACAGGGGAAUCCCAAGCCCCCGAGGCUCUAUUCUCUCUUGGUGGUUUUCACGGCUGCAGAAUGCCCCCCGCCCCUCACACAAGCGCAGCAGGUUUCUUAAAGCCCUGGGCGGUGGAUGUGGACUAGUCUCUGUCCCAGAGGGGUGAACCUGAGGAGACUGGAUACUCUUGUCACCUUGUCAGCCCUGCGGGUUGGGGCAGGCUCUGCCCGGCGGGGAAUGGUCUGGAUCCCUAGAUAGGAGCUGCUGGCGUCUGCCUGCCAGGACUCCCGGCACGGCUCUCUUGCUCCAAGCCACAGGGCAGUCAUGUGAGAACUCAUCGAAAGAAGUCAUUUGUGUCCGGCUUUUGAGGAAUGUGUGGCAAUAAACUGGAAAUAGAAAUUGCCGCUCUGAGGAAUGGGGCGGGGGUGGGGGUGGGGGGGUCACGUUUUCAUCAAAUAUGGCCCCUGUGAUGCGGUUGGGGGCAUAAACGUGACCUCUUUCUGUGCAGACCUUUCCACGUUGUCAGCUUAAUGGAUUGGAUCACCAAAACCUGCUGGCAACUGUCUGUGCUGGGAGAGAGACAGUGAUGUAAUCCUGAUUAAAAUAGUUAACAAGGAAUUAAUGAGAGGUUAUCUCCUUGUCUUCAAUCAUUUCCCGGCUCAUGAAGGAAACAGAGGCCAUUUGGGCCUUCAUUAACCAUAGUUGAUGGAGCCAAAUUUAUUCUAAGAGGCUAUGGAAGAAGAAUUCAGCUCCACCCAGUCAAACAGUUUCAUCCAAUUAACGCAUAACGGAGUUGCAACAUGAGCCGAUGUUCGUUCCUCUACCCGAUCCUGAAAUUCCAAUGACAAAACGAAAAACUGCAAAUAAAUAAAAAGGUUGUUGCUAGAGUAAAAUAUUGGUGACCCCAAGGUAAGGGGUUAAGAGAUUCCAUGGACAAUAAAAA